rnacentral:rRNA from 1 species
AGUGAACGCUGGCGGUAGGCCUAACACAUGCAAGUCGAACGGCAGCACAGUAAGAGCUUGCUCUUACGGGUGGCGAGUGGCGGACGGGUGAGGAAUACAUCGGAAUCUACUUUUUCGUGGGGGAUAACGUAGGGAAACUUACGCUAUUACCGCAUACGACCUACGGGUGAAAGCAGGGGAUCUUCGGACCUUGCGCGAUUGAAUGAGCCGAUGUCGGAUUAGCUAGUUGGCGGGGUAAAGGCCCACCAAGGCGACGAUCCGUAGCUGGUCUGAGAGGAUGAUCAGCCACACUGGAACUGAGACACGGUCCAGACUCCUACGGGAGGCAGCAGUGGGGAAUAUUGGACAAUGGACGCAAGCCUGAUCCAGCCAUACCGCGUGGGUGAAGAAGGCCUUCGGGUUGUAAAGCCCUUUUGUUGGGAAAGAAAAGCAGCAGGUUAAUACCCCGCUGUUCUGACGGUACCCAAAGAAUAAGCACCGGCUAACUUCGUG